UACGUAGGGGGCCAGCGUUGUUCGGAAUUACUGGGUGUAAAGGGUUCGUAGGCGGUGUGGCAAGUUGGGAGUGAAAUCUCUGGGCUCAACCCAGAGACGGCUUCCAAAACUGCCGUGCUUGAGUGCAGGAGAGGAACGCGGAAUUCCAGGUGUAGCGGUGAAAUGCGUAGAUAUCUGGAGGAACACCGGUGGCGAAGGCGGCGUUCUGGACUGUAACUGACACUGAGGAACGAAAGCCAGGGGAGCAAACGGG
rnacentral:rRNA from 1 species